rnacentral:rRNA from 1 species
AGGACGAACGCUGGCGGCGUGCUUAACACAUGCAAGUCGAACGGUGAAGCCCUUUGGGGUGGAUCAGUGGCGAACGGGUGAGUAACACGUGAGCAAUCUGCCCUUGACUCUGGGAUAACUUCGGGAAACCGGAGCUAAUACCGGAUAUGACACGCGGACGCAUGUUCUGUGUGUGGAAAGAUUUAUCGGUUGAGGAUGAGCUCGCGGCCUAUCAGCUUGUUGGUGGGUAAUGGCUCACCAAGGCGACGACGGGUA